rnacentral:rRNA from 1 species
ACGGGGAGCACCACAACGGUGGAGCCUGCGGUUUAAUCGGACUCAACGCCGGGAAACUCACCAGAUAAGACAGCUGAAUGAUAGUCGGGCUGAAGACUCUACUUGACUAGCUGAGAGGAGGUGCAUGGCCGUCGUCAGUUCGUACUGUGAAGCAUCCUGUUAAGUCAGGCAACGAGCGAGACCCACGCCAACAGUUGCCAGCUCGUCCUCCGGGAUGGUGGGGACACUGUUGGGACCGCCUCUGCUAAAGAGGAGGAAGGAAUGGGCAACGGUAGGUCAGCAUGCCCCGAAUUAUCUGGGCUACACGCGGGCUACAAUGGGUGGGACAAUGGGUAUCGACACCGAAAGGUGAAGGCAAUCUCCUAAACCCAUCCGUAGUUCGGAUUGUGGGCUGCAACUCGCCCACAUGAAGCUGGAAUCUGUAGUAAUCGUGUCUCAAAAUGGCACGGUGAAUAUGUCCCUGCUCCUU